rnacentral:lncRNA from 1 species
AUCUCAAUCUCCAUUGCUGCCCUUCUCAAAGCUUUCAUCAGCGUUAUCAUCUCCCCCAAAUACAAAACCAAUCUUCCUCCAGGCCCCUUUAAUCUCCCCGUCAUCGGCAACCUCCAGUGGCUUCUUAAAUCUUUCUCCGAAAUCGAACCAAUCCUCAGAAACCUUCACUCCAAGCUUGGCCCCGUCGUCACGCUCUUUAUCGGCCCUCGCCCGGCUAUCUUUAUCGCCGAUCGCUCACUGGCCCACAAGGCCUUGGUCCAAAACGGCGCCAUCUUUGCUGACAGACCCCGGCCUCUUCCCACAAACAAAAUCGUCAGCAGCAACCAGCAUAACAUCAGCUCUGCUUCUUAUGGCACAACGUGGCGGCUCUUCCGCCGUAAUCUCUCAGCAGAGAUCCUCCAUCCCUCUCGUGUGAAAUCCUACAAGCACGCCCGCAAAUGGGUUCUUGAAAUUCUCUUGAAUCGUUUAAAGUCAGAGUCCAAAAAUGAGGACCGCCCUGUCCCUGUUCGUGUUCUUGAUCAUUUCCAAUACGCCAUGUUUUGCUUGUUGGUGCUCAUGUGUUUCGGAGACAAGCUUGAUGAAUCCCAAAUCAAAAAAAUUGAGAACGUUCAGCGCACACAGCUGUUGACUUUUGGGAAUUUCAAUAUAUUGAAUUUCUGGCCAAGAUUAUCAAAAAUUGUUUUUGUUAAGAAGUGGGAGCAGUUCUUGCAGAUUCGUAGAGAUCAAGAAAACGUAUUGGUUCCUUUGAUAAGAGCAAGAAAGAAGAUGAAAGAAGAAGAGAGCCUCAGCAUUAAGGAGAGGGAGUAUGUGUUAUCGUAUGUGGAUACUCUGUUAGAUUUACAGCUUCCUGAAGAGAAAAGAAAGCUUAGCGAAGAGGAAAUUGUGAGUUUGUGUUCAGAAUUUCUCAACGCGGGCACUGACACUACCUCCACGGCGCUACAGUGGAUCAUGGCCAAUCUGGUGAAGCACCCGCACGUUCAAGAGACGGUUUAUACGGAAAUCAGAGGAGUUGUUGGUGAAAAUGAAGAGGUGAAAGAGGAGGAGUUGCAGAAGAUGCCGUAUCUGAAAGCAGUGAUUUUAGAGGGACUGAGGAGGCACCCGCCUGGGCAUUUCGUGUUGCCACAUGCCGUGACAGAGGAUUUCGUUCUUGAUGAUAAGUAUGUGAUACCAAAGGACGGGAGUGUGAAUUUCAUGGUGGCCGAAAUGGGUUGGGAUCCGAAAGUUUGGGAGGAUCCGAUGGGGUUUAAGCCCGAGAGGUUUUUGAAUGAUCAUGAUCAAGAUUUUGACAUAACGGGGAGUAGGGAAAUUAAGAUGAUGCCAUUUGGAGCUGGCAGGAGAAUCUGUCCCGGUUUUGGUUUGGCUAUGCUUCAUUUGGAGUAUUUUGUGGCUAAUUUGGUUUGGAAUUUUGAGUGGACGGCUGUGGAUGGUGAUGAGGUUGAUUUGACUGAGAAGCAAGAGUUUACCGUUGUGAUGAAGAAUCCAUUGCAGGCUCUUCUUUCUCCUAGAACUAGAUAAGAACAUAACUCACCUGAUUAUUAUUAUUAGUAUUAUUAUGCAUUUAAAAAUUAAGUAAGACUUCUAUAUUAAUAUUGGCAUAAUUAUAUGUACCAUCGUUCUGUUUGUGGUAAUUUUGUCAUCUCCUAUGGAAAUCUAAUGGUUGGUAGGCCUUGGCCAAAUCAACUUAGAGGAAGGCAUCUGACCAAGCUUACCAUCGCUUUAUAGACUUUAAAUAAAGGAAAAUGCUAGGUAGCGAGAGGAACGAGAGAAUGAUGAGAGAAACGGCAGCAGUUGCUGCCGUCUGCUGCCGUUUCGCUUCUCGUUCUUCUUGCUUGUUAAUACAUUAAAAAAAUAAAAAGAAUGAAUAAAGAAUUCAUAAAGAAAUGGGUGCGUGCAUAGAGAAAUCCAACCUUAUCUACCAUAUCUCCAGCCUACUUUCCUCUCUCCCUCACGCUCCUCUCUCACGACAAAUCCCUAAAGCAUCAAUUGUCUUAACUUCUAUUUUAACGACUUUGAAUUGUAGACCAAAUUGAAUAUUUUAUGGACAAAAUCACUUCCAUACUCAGAAAGAAGAAACAUCAUUUCUUGUUUUAUUCACUUUGCUGCAGGGGCCCAAGUACAGAGUUCCUCUGUUUUUGUUUAUCUGCAUUCCAGAUUUGCGCAUCCACAUGCACCUGUGACAUCUCCAAACUCCCUUUUGUUAUAUUUCCUUUAAUGUUCUUAAAAUCCUUGAUUUCAUUGUUAAAUAAAGUGAAGUCAUUUUUUGGGUUUGUAGAAGUUUAGAUGAUCCUGAGUGUGUUAGAGCAAUUUGGUAUUCGGAGAAGGAAGAUAAGGAAUCAUUUUGGAAUAAAUCAACAGUAGUAGAGGCUACAUAUAUAAAUAUAGUACGUAUAUAGGAAUUGAGCAAAAUAUUUCUGCUAUGAAGUUUUAUAAUACUUCGAUUAACAACAUCGCAUAUACAUCACAAAUGAGUCACAAACAUAUUUUAAAGCUGAUUGGAUGCAGUUUAGAGACUCAAACUGCCGUUCCGUGGAGUAUGGGACUCUGGCUGGAGAGAGAGGAAAGUGAAAGCAUGCGUGAGGAAGGAAAGUGAAAGCCUGCGUGAUUUCAUGCGCCAUUUCUUUAUUCAAAAAUUUUAAAUUUUUUAAUGUUUUAAUGAGCGAGAGGAACGAGCGGCGAAACGGCAGCAACUGCUGCCGUUUCUCUUAUCAUUCUCUCGUCCCUCUCGCUACCUAGCAGCACUCUUAAAUAAAAGCCUCGUAAGUAGACUCUCACGUUUUCUUUAUGUUUUUACAGUAAAGAACAUCAUCACCGAAGUGGAAGAAAGGACCAACUAAUUAAAAGAACAUUGAAAUUCUAUUGAUAUUUAUAAUAAAUAAAAAAACCUACAGACACUAUUUUUGUUAGCCCAAUAUGACACAGCUUGAAUUUAUAUCACCACAUAAUAUAGGUAUUCAAUUCUCAGAGGAGGAAUUUUACGCCUACCCAAUCUAAUUAGGAGAGAAUCAAGUCCCAACUAUUAUCAGGGCUCAAACCAAUAUUUGAGUGCAUGGGUUGUGUCAACGGGCUACCACCUCAUUGUCCCAUCUUGUUACUGAUACAAGCGAUUUAUUUGAUGCGCCCGUAAUAUUGAUAAUAGUUUGUAACUAUAUAAGCAAUAAGCAAUCCUUAAAUUAGUUCCCACCUUAACAUCAACGGUUUUUCCCUCGAAGGCCUCAUCACCAGCCUGAUCUGGUCCAUUUGCUGGUGCCAAAAACUCUUGCAUCAAUAUGGACUGCACCACAAAAACUGUCAACUCAAAGGGCCGAUAAUCAAAAGUGAAGCCCUUUAUCUUUAUCAUACUCCCACCGUUAUAUAGCCAAUAAUCAAAAGUGAGAAUAACACAUGUUGCUUCAAUGAUUGAAGUUAAACAUCAAAUAUUAUCUUUCAUGUUAAAAAGUAAACAUAAAAAAAUAUAUAUAUGUAUUUUGACUUAUAAACAUGACAUUUCAAUUGACAUUCAUAUGUGUUAAAACUGUUGGGGAAAAAUUAGGUUUUUAAAUUUUUAUAAAACUUUUUGAAGAUCGCUCUCAUAUAAUAUAUAAGAAUUUGUAUUCUAGAAAUCGUACCUUGAAAAUCCGAGUUGGCUUUUUCUGCUGAAGUGUUUUAGGCUCCUAAAUCACGAUCCGCCACCACCACUCCUGUUAGAUCACGAUCCGUCACCACCACGCUUGUUAGAUCACGAACAGUCUCCAAUGAUCUUCCAGGUUAUGACUCAGGUUCGAUCUGCACUUGACGUGUGGGCGCCUUUAUCACUACCAAAGCAACUAGCACGAGAACAUUUUUCUCUCAACAAUAGAGAGAAAAAUCUUUUUCUCUGAUCUGUAUAAAGUGGCUUCUUCUUUUUUCUUUAGGGAAAAAUAAGCCUUUUAUAUCACCCUUUAGUGAAAACCCUAGGCUCCAAAUAAUACCCUAAAUAAAACUCACGUUAUUUUCUUUUUCAAUAGGGGACCCACCUUGUAAAAUAACAUAAGGCCCCUUACACANNNNNNNNNNNNNNNNNNNNNNNNNNNNNNNNNNNNNNNNNNNNNNNNNNNNNNNNNNNNNNNNNNNNNNNNNNNNNNNNNNNNNNNNNNNNNNNNNNNNNNNNNNNNNNNNNNNNNNNNNNNNNNNNNNNNNNNNNNNNNNNNNNNNNNNNNNNNNNNNNNNNNNNNNNNNNNNNNNNNNNNNNNNNNNNNNNNNNNNNNNNNNNNNNNNNNNNNNNNNNNNNNNNNNNNNNNNNNNNNNNNNNNNNNNNNNNNNNNNNNNNNNNNNNNNNNNNNNNNNNNNNNNNNNNNNNNNNNNNNNNNNNNNNNNNNNNNNNNNNNNNNNNNNNNNNNNNNNNNNNNNNNNNNNNNNNNNNNNNNNNNNNNNNNNNNNNNNNNNNNNNNNNNNNNNNNNNUUCUGGGGGCUUCUUUUUCAAUAAAGCCGAGAGAUGAUGAGUGUGAUGGUCCACAUGUGGGAGGAAAUCACGGAUGUAAUUGAUAAUGCCGAGAAACCUGCUGUACCGUACAUCCGCCUUGGCCGUACAGCAGCUGUUCAAUGUAGUCGUACUACAUCAAUAAAUUCAUACAUGAUUAAGACAAAUCAUUUAAUGAAUUUAUUACAGUCUAUACCUAAAUAAAGUGCCAAGCUUUAUUUAUCAACUGCGAACUAAAUUUAUUUAAUCAUAAGAUAACUUGUAUUUAUGUCUUCUGUGAAUCCACAUGGUGAUCACAUAAAUACAUAUAAUAUGAUUAAAUGGACUUUAAUACAAGUAUUAAUGCAAUUAAGAUAUUUGAAUAAAAUACCUCAUUUAUUUUAUUAAUCAGAAAAAUAGUUUAUUACAAUUAAAUAAACACAUAUGCUUUUAAAGAGCAUAUUUUCCCAACAAAAACAUGUCAAAUUUUUAAGGACUAUCAAUUUGUAUGUUAAAAGUUUACAUUUACUCUUUAAAGAGAAUUUCUAUUAAAAUUUUAAUUUCAAUAAUAAAAUGAAGUAUUAAAAAUUUCAACGAACUUAAUUAGUUAAAAAAUUGUUAUAAGGAAUAAAUAAAUAUACAACACACACUUUACCACACUUUACCCCACCAAAAUUUUCUAUAACAAUUGCUUUUCUCCACUUAAUAUUUUAGUUUUUAUCAUUUUACCCUCAAACCGUUAAAGUUAACAUAAUUUUUAAUAGAAAUUAUAGUACAAGUCUAGUUUAUUCCUAAACUGGAGUAUAAUUUAACCAUCUAAACAAUACUUUUAUCAAUUGAUUAUUUUAUAUAUCUCAAAUAAUUAAUUGAUAAAAUUGUAGAUAUUAUAAUUCUUAAAAUACUGACUAUACUGAAAUUCUUAAAAUACUGCUGUGACAUCAGCAUUUUAUUAAUGGAGUUAAUGUUUUGGUGAUAAAUUGAUAAAAAUGAAACAUUAAGUGUGAAAAAUUAAUUGUUAGAAAACGUUGGUAAUAAAAUGAUAUGUCAGAAAAUAUUAGGCCACAUGUAAAAUGAUAAUAUCCCAAAAAAAAAUUAAAAAUUACUAAACAUUUGUUCAGGGGCUAUUCGUCAUUUCCACUAGUUAUCACUUCAUAUUAUUACCUAAGUGGUGACGUUAUAGAAUGGAGGAGACAAUCGACAAACAACAAAGAACAAGAAAGCAUCAAAAUAGAUGACUUGUAUAUAUAUAUAUGUACACACAUAUAUAUAGUUGUAGUUUGGAUUUGCUGAUAAAACGCAACUAACCACUAAUUUUGGUGUUCAUAAAAUACAAGAACUCGAGGUGUCACGAAUACGAUCUAUAGAUAAUUUUUUUUUCUUUUUUAACGUGUGAAUUACACAAGUUUCUACCAGUAGGCAGCAGACAUCAUUGUUUUUUUUUUUUUAACAUGCAUGAUGCACGUAUUAGAACCAAAAAAGAAAAAAAAAUAGUAAAAUGAUUAAUGUUCUUCUUUUGGACACACGCAUAAUUAUUCUGAAUUUGAUGAUAAUAUAUAUAUAUAUAUAGAGAGAGAGAGAGAGAGGAAAGGAAAGUCAAAACACUUGGCAUGUAUUGAUUGAAUGAUUCACCAUGUAAAUUUUUUACCCCUUCUGUAUAUAUUGCUUUCCUUUCAUCCGUGGAUAAGGAUGACACGUUUGAUAAUUUUUUUUUUCACUCAAUAAUAUGAGAAAUUUUAAAAUACAUCUGAGGUACAAUUUUAACUAUACAAUAAAUAAAUAGUAUUAUAAUAUGUGUGUAUUUAUUUUAAAAAAUUAUGUUACAAAUGAUAAUUGUAUUAAAUUCAACUACACAUAUCAUAUAUAUAUAUCAAUUAAUUAUAAUACAUUAAAAAUAUUGUAGAAUUUCUCCAAUAAUAUUGGGAUACCGAGUGUUUUGAUCUACUGCAAAAUUAAAUGAUUAAGUUAGUUGUAGCUGUGAAGGUGGGAUGAUGUGCCAAGUCAAAGCGAUAUUAAUAUCAGUGUUACAACGACCUUAUUGAUAGCUAACAUUUUCAAACAAGUUGGAAGACUAAUUAAUAUAAGUCACAUAUUUUUUUUUUCACUGAUAAGUCAAAUAUUGUUAAAUACUUCGAAUAGAAGUGUAUUUAUUAGUCAAUGUAUACUAUACCAUGCAAAGUAAUAUUAUUAAAAGAAAAAAAAAAGAUAGAAGAAGAGGAAGAAGCAAGAUUAAAACACCAAAAUUUAUUAUCACUACUCCGGUAAAUUACCCCAGCUGCUGAAGUGACAUAAAUGUAGGCCUCAUACUAUAAUGGGAUAUUAAGAUAAAUUAUCACUUUCUAAACAUAGUGAAAUACUUGUGCAGGAUGGGUGCUUUAAUGAAUUUUUUUUUUUAAUACAUGAGAUUAUUACUCAAGAGUACAACUCAUAUUAUAUGAGAUUACAAUUGAUAUUUAUAAAUCAGACUAUUACUGAAAUUAGUUUACAUCAAUUUACUAUUACUGGGACUAGUUUACAUUAAUUUUUAUGAAGCGCCGCUUAGAUUUUUUACCCUCUCUAAUAUUCGAGGGACGUCUGCUCCACUCACAUUUCGAAAAAGAAGAAGACGGUCUUUACUUAAAGACAGUGUCAUGACCCAACCUAGACCUGGCAAGAUAUUGUCCGCUUUGAGCCUUAACAAGGCCCGCACUGUUUUGUUCCUAGGGUAGCCAUACACCCCAAAAUGCGUCUUGUCAAUUAAGGUAUAGAUCACCCCUUAUAAAUCCAGAAUCUCUGCCGAUGUGGGAUAUGCCUAGGGUGUUACAUACACCCUACUUAGGAACUCAGCAUCCUCGCUGAGAUUUGUCCCACCAUCGCUCAAGAGAACACGCGGAGCCGCUCUAAUACCAUAAUGUCAUGACCCAACCUAGACUUAGCAAGAUAUUGUCCGUUUUGAGUCUUAACAAGACCUGCACGGUUUUGUUCCCGGGACGCCUAUACACCCUAAAACGCUUCUUGCCAAUUAAUGUAUGAAUCAUCUCUUAUAACCUUAUCAUCUCUCCCGUGCUUUGCCAAUGUGGGAUUUGCUUAGGGUGUUACACUGAGAAAGUAAAUUAAACCCCCACAAUUAAUGAAGAUUUUAAACCUUUCAAAUAUCAAGUUAUUUUAGUGAUGCGUCUGCUAUUUUGUGGGGGUUUAAUUUUCUUCCUCAAUUUGAGCGAAGACAACAUUAUGAUUUUAAUUGCCUAUAUUAUGAUUUCUUGAAUAUAACAUUCUUUGGGAAGACAACAUUUUUAUAAUACAAUAUUGAAAAUUUUCGCUAGGCAACGUAAGUUAACACUCAUUCAUUUAUUGUCUAAAUCUUGAAUUCACAGCCUUCCUAAUAAAAGACAGUAAUAAUUAAACAUAUACCAUCACAAUCAAACCUAAACACUAUUUUUUCUUCUUUGUCCUCUUACAUAUAUCUUCUACUAUUUAAACCAUCACAAUUCAACGUAAGCUAAAAUAUAGGAACUAAACGAGUUUUACCUAGUAUUUUAGAGCAAGGGAUAAGAGAAGGCAUGUUAAUAAUUUUAUUAUGGCUGUUAAAGCUACAAUAUAAAGUCUCUUUACUCAUCUGACUAUCAAUUACUUUCCAAGCUUUCCAUAAUUUUAUGAAGUUAUCAAAUAUUGGUCAUAUUUUCUGAAUAUAUGUGUGUUGUGUAUUCGCUGUACACAUACCUAUGCACAUCCAACUUUUGCAUCAUUCGAGUUUCACAAUUGAUGUUAUCAAAGCCAUACGUGUAAAUUUGUUCAUAAAUAAUAGUUGUUAAUAUAAAACACCGAAAUCCUAAGGUUACGUUGCUAUGCAGAGAACAUUAAUUAAAACCAUGAACUACGAUUUUGAUGAAACCGGCUUACUUUUAUUAAUGAAUACACACCCUUAUUUAUAUACCUGUGCUAUGAUUACAUGCUGUAACAUUUCUUCACCUAUGGCCUUUAUUAAAAGAUUAUCAAAGCAAACUAAUAUCUAUUCACUGCGCAGUCCAAUCCUCCAUUAUUUCAUUUGAUGUCUGGCCUUGGAUUGUCAAAACCUGCUUCUAGAUUCUUUAAGGGCUUUCAUUCUUAUCCUUUGGUGGUUCUACAUGUGCUCUAGAUUUCAAAUUAUGACUUCCCGCUAACUGGCUCUUCACUCUGGCAUUUCGUCGAACAGUUUGUUAUUUAUGACAAACACCUUGUUUUGACUAAAAUUUAUUUGGCAACUUAGCUCAUCAAAGGAUGAGCUAAUGAACAUGUGUCAGCACUGUACAAAUCUAAUAAACAGUUUUAUUACCUUCUGGUAGUGUAAAAUCAAAAUAAUUUUCAGCAAUUGAAAAUUAGAGAUGAUGAGGUGGACAUUUAUUUUGCUAUUUUUUGUAUUUAUUCAUUAUUUGAAAAAUAUUUCUAGAAUUUAACGAAAAUAAAAACAUACACUAAUUUUUUUUUUUAAUACUGAUUACAUAUUAUAGCAGAUAUUUACAAAUGCUAUUAUAGCAGACAUUAUACUGAUAUUUAUAGUAAGAUAUACAUAACCGAGACUUACAUUAUUAGAUUAAAUUUUAUGAAAUACAUAUCCAGACAAAUAACCCUCACAGACGAGGGAUGUCACUACUCCACUCGCAUUUCACAAGGGAGAAUGACUUACAAAUAUUAUAGCCCCCACAAUACUUUUGUGGGGGCUUGUGAGGGCAGCAACUCAACCACUCGGCCAAAGGCUGAGUGACAAACAUACACCAAUCCAAAAAGCAUAACAUACAAGAUUUUCUUUGCUAUUUGAUAAAGGGUGGGGCUAACCCACCAAAUUCCUCUCUACACCCAUUUUAUUAAAAAUUUUAAAGUUACCUUCACUAAUCUCUUUCUCUCUCUAUCUUAUAAUUGUGUAUUCUCUUUCUACUCUCAUAUUUUGUAAAUUAGAAACUCAAUUUUAUUUUAUUUUUUGAAUUCAUUUUUUGGUAUUUCUAAUUAUAUCAUAAUCUUUAUUUCAUGCUUUUUGUAUAUAAGAAUUUUAUUAUUGAUUUUCAUUUGCUUUUGUGUCUGAUAAAAAUUAAUUUUUAUAUUCAUUAACUUUUAGAACUAAAUUGAUGAGAAUUUAUGAAAUUGAGAAGAGAAAAAGAAGAAACGUUAAUUAAGUAAUUUUUAAGAAAAUUAUUUAUAUAAUAAAACUCUUAAUUAAAAAGAUGAUGUAGAAAAUAAAUUAGUGGGUUCAAAUAGUCUUAUCCUUUAAUUAAAUAAACUAAUUUUAAAUUGAUAUUUAUGAUAUUUCCAAACCGUUAUUGACUGUCAGUAAUUAAUUUAAUAAACCAAAUACCAAUUAAGUAGUUAGAAUCUACAAAUAUAUUAUAAGGUUUACGAGAUUCUAAACUUAUUAUAAUAUAGUUUAAAUAUAUAAGUAGAAUUGGAAAAUGUACUUCUAGUUCUACUAAUCAUAUUUAAAAAGAAAUACAUAAAACAAAAAAAAAAAUUGUAAAAACCAGUAUAGAGUCUCGAAUUGGUGCACUCAGUAUAUUAAUGGCAGAUUGGCAGUAUGGCACCCACCUAAAACUAACUCCUGUCGACUUGGAAAUCCUAAUUAAUUAAUCCUUGAUUCCUUGAAAAACAUAUCAGUGCUAAAUGAUUUAGUGUUAUCAUUCUAGUUAUUACAGAAUUAUUUCCAUAUUCUGUCAUUAAAUAUAAGUAUUUUUACUAUAUGCAUAUGUUUACACAUUUUAAACAAUUAUUGAUAUAGAUAAUCAUAUGGAAGGAAAAGUUGUGGAUAUAUAUAUAUAGUAAAAAGGUAAUAAUAGAUAUCUCAAACUAUAUGGCAUUUAAUAUUUUAUUUAUUAAGUAGUUUCUGUUUUUCAUCAAUUAUAAGUUAAUUAAUUAGAUAAUUUUUUUGAGUUAAAAUUUUGAGAUAUGUAGCAAUUGGCAGACCAGAGACAUGACCAAAAAUAUCUUGGGACAAUCACAUUCAAAAUAAUUCAUUGAGAUAUGUAGCAAUUGGUAGACCAGAGACAUGACCAAAAAUAUAUUGGGAUAAUCACAGUCAAAAUAAUUCAAGAUUGACUUGUAUAAACACCAACGCUUUGGAAAACUACACACCGCCAGUUGCUUGGGACAAUCACAUUCAAAAUAAUUCAAGAUUGGCUUAUAUAAACACGAACGCUUUCGAAAACUACACACCGCCAGUUGCUUACAACCAACUGAAUAUUAAUUAUUAUUAUUAUUCGUCACACCGUUUACUCUUUUUUGACUUAUCAAUUUGCAGAAAUGGAAUUCGGGUUCAUCAUCCUAAUCUCAAUCGCCGUUGCUGCCCUUCUCAAAGCUUUCAUCGGCGUUAUCAUCUCCUCCAAAUACAAAACCAAUCUUCCUCCAGGCCCCUUCAAUGUCCCCCUCAUCGGCAACCUUCGGUGGCUUCUCAAAUCUUUCACCGAAAUCGAACCAAUCCUCAGAAACCUUCACUCCAAGCUUGGCCCCGUCUUCACGCUCUAUGUCGGCCCUCGCCCGGCUAUCUUUAUCGCCGAUCGCUCCCUGGCCCACAAGGCCUUGGUCCAAAACGGUGCCAUCUUUGCUGACAGACCCCCGCCUCUUCCCACAUGGAAAAU